ACGGAUAUGAUGAAAUUGGUAGACGUCUUAGAUUUAGAUUCUAGGGACUUGAAUAAGUCAUGAGGGUUCGAAUCCCUCUAUCCGUA
rnacentral:tRNA from 1 species